GGUUUGGCUAGUAGGCAUGGAAAACAUAGGCUCUCAACAUACUAUAGGUACAGGAACAUUUUGGUUGCUGGCUGGCAACGUCCAUUUGCAGAGUUGGGUUGCGGUAGGGUCACCCUGCGUCAGUAAUAUAUGCAAACUUAAAAAAAAUGAAAUAACACAACGUAACAUUAGUUCAGGUAUAUCAAAUAUAUCUGAGGUGUGCCCACUAGGUAAGACCUGUU